CUUAACCGCGGACGUGCCUUUGAAACUGCUGCUCUUGAGUCCCGGAGAGGUUGCCGGAAUUCGUGGUGUAGCGGUGAAAUGCGUAGAUAUCACGAGGAACACCAGAGGCGAAAGCGGGCAACUGGACGGGUACUGACACUGAGGCACGAAAGCGUGGGGAGCAAACAGGAUUAGAUACCCUGGUAGUCCGCGCCGUAAACGAUGAAUGCUCGCCGUUGCCUCGUUAGGGGGCAGUGGCUAAGCUAACGCGUUAAGCAUUCCGCCUGGGGAGUACGAUCGCAAGGUUGAAACUCAAAGGAAUUGACGGGGGCCCGCACAAGCGGUGGAGCAUGUGGCUUAAUUCGAUGCAACGCGAAGAACCUUACCUAGGCUCGAACGCUAGGCGGCCGCUCCUGAAAGGGAGCUUUCCGCAAGGACGC
rnacentral:rRNA from 1 species